CUUGUACUCCCUCCGUCCGGAAAUACUUGUCAUUGAAAUGGAUGUAUCUAGAUGUAUUUUAGUUUGAGACACAUCCAUUUUGAUGACAAGUAAUUCUGGACGGAGGGUGUACUUG
rfam:Triticum aestivum genome assembly, contig: Triticum_aestivum_CS42_TGACv1_scaffold_250498_3DL